AACGUACGCUGGCGGCACGCCUAACACAUGCAAGUCGAACGCAGUAGCAAUACUGAGUGGCAAACGGGUGAGUAUAAUGUGGGAAUCUGCCUUUUGGUUUGGAAUAACACGGGGAAACUUGUGCUAAUACCGAAUAAGCCCUUACGGGGAAAGUUUUAAUGCCGAAAGAUGAGCCCGCACUUGAUUAGCUAGUUGGUAAGGUAAAAGCUUACCAAGGCAACGAUCAAUAGCUGUUCUUAGAGGAAGACCAGCCACAUUGGGACUGAGACACGGCCCAGACUCCUACGGGAGGCAGCAGUGGGGAAUCUUGCACAAUGGGGGAAACCCUGAUGCAGCGAUGCCGCGUGAGUGAAGAAGGCCCUUGGGUUGUAAAACUCUUUCGUCGGGGAAGAAAAUGACUGUACCCGAAUAAGAAGGUCCGGCUAACUUCGUGCCAGCCGCCGCCGUAACAC
rnacentral:rRNA from 1 species